AUUGAACGCUGGCGGCAGGCUUAACACAUGCAAGUCGAGCGGAGAUGAGGUGCUUGCACCUUAUCUUAGCGGCGGACGGGUGAGUAAUGCUUAGGAAUCUGCCUAUUAGUGGGGGACAACAUUCCGAAAGGAAUGCUAAUACCGCAUACGCCCUACGGGGGAAAGCAGGGGAUCUUCGGACCUUGCGCUAAUAGCUGAGCCUAAGUCGGAUUAGCUAGUUGGUGGGGUAAAGGCCUACCAAGGCGACGAUCUGUAGCGGGUCUGAGAGGAUGAUCCGCAACACUGGGACUGAGACACGGCCCAGACUCCUACGGGAGGCAGCAGUGGGGAAUAUUGGACAAUGGGCGGAAGCCUGAUCCAGCCAUGCCGCGUGUGUGAAGAAGGCCUUUUGGUUGUAAAGCACUUUAAGCGAGGAGGAGGCUACCUGGAUUAAUACUCUAGGAUAGUGGACGUUACUCGCAGAAUAAGCACCGGCUAACUCUGUGCCAGCAGCCGCAGUAACAC
rnacentral:rRNA from 1 species